rnacentral:tRNA from 1 species
GUGGGUAUAGCUCAGUGGUAGAUCGUCUGCUUAGCAUGCGUGAGGUCCUGGGUUCAAUCCCCAAUACCUCCA